rnacentral:lncRNA from 1 species
CAGGAGAACGAGGUGGGACCCGAGGAACCCGAGGAGCUUCACGAGCAGGAACCUCCGGAAGCACAGGAACCCGGAGAGGAACUGAAGGAGUGUCCGGAUCACCGACCCAGCACGUUUGAGAAAGGCAAGCCCCGGAGCAUUCUAAGUCUCCCUAUUCUCGCUAACUUAUGUGAUGCACUAUACUUGUUCUACUACUGCAUUUAAGUGGUAGGAGUUGCCUGAUACCGUUGCUGCAUAUGUACUCCUUGUUAUCCCUACUCGUUUAUCUACCUUGUCCUAUGUAGAUAGGCGCGGAGUCUAUGCUUAGCUUGCUUAGUCCGGUAGAAGUCGGGUGAUGUCCUGUCACCUGCGAGAUAUAGGUGGAUAUCUGCUUGAUUAAGCAGUGGUUGCUUGGGGAAAGAAAUAACCAAGUGUGGAAUGUAAUUGGAGACCGGGCAGGGUCUUAUGGUGGGUUUCCCAUAGUGCCCCUGCCUGUGUCGAUUAAGGACCGAUUGUUGACGGCCCUCUUGUCAUGUUGAACGCAUGCCCCACACUUAGCUGGAAGGAUAAGUCGUUCCGACCGCGAAGCCUGAACACUAUCCGGGCCGGGAGUCGAGCCGCCAUGCGCUGUAUUGGUGAUGGUUGAGGAGAACGACGAGGGCGCGGCGCGCAACCUUGGUAUACCUUGGAUACCUCGGUCGCCGGAACGGUCCUCGGGUACUGGCGGUGCCUGCCGAACCCGCGAAUUGGUCCUGGAUAGUGUAAUACGGUGAUCUGUAGCUCACUUGAUCAGUGAGUGUGGUUUGUGUGGGGAAUACCUCGCCAGCUGGUUAGAAAUCGAUUCGAAUCGCCAUCGCCCCUGGAUAGUGAGCACUUGACAUGAGCCCUGUCCUCGUAGUAAGGACUAUGGAACACUUGGGUUAUAAUGAAACGGGUUUAUGACUGCUAUGAUGAGGUACUAUCAUAGUCUCAUACUUGCUUGUAAUAGCACAGGAGCAAACCUAGAUAAUAGGUAAUGAUACUUUCAACUUGAGCAGAUUAAAAGAAGAAAAAAAUUUAUGUAGGUUAGGGUAAUAAAACCUUGUGGUCUUUGCAAAAUGGUUGUCAGCUACCCCACUAAAUAGCCUUCAUGAUCCUUGAUGAGUCUUUAUUUUAAGUUAUGACGGGUAAGUCUAGCUGAGUACCUUCUCGUACUCAGGGUUCUACUCCCAUGUUGUUUUGCAGAUGGUCAAAUGUACUAUGGUUAUUGCAUCCUCUGUCUGUACCCAGCUAUGGGUGAUGACUAGACCAAGGGCGAUGGUCACUUCGUCUCUUCUUUUGCUUUUGUGGGAAUGACCGAACUAUGACACUGUAUCAGACUUAUCGUGUGUGUUGUAUUUUCGAACUAUGAAGCUUCCGCUACUUGAAGAAUUUGGUUUGUAAUAACUUAAGUACUCCGAUGUGUUUCAUGAAUGUUGUAAUCUGGAUGUACUUGUGGAUGGCGGCCGCUAAACUUAUUACGAUCUUGGCUGUUAUGCGAUGUGUGGUUUGAAAUCCUUCGAGAUUUCACGGACUACCGGGAUUAUAUGGGCUUAAGCG